rnacentral:misc_RNA from 1 species
UUUCCGUAGGUGAACCUGCGGAAGGAUCAUUACAGAGUACAUGCCCGAAAGGGUAGACCUCCCACAUUUGUGUAUUAUGACUUUGUUGCCUUGGCUAGCUGCCUUUGGGCCUCUGGCUUUCAAGCUUGAGAACUCUCGCCCGAUUAAAUUAAAACUCUUUUUAUUAAUGUCAUAUUAUUACUAUAUAAUAGUUAAAACUUUCAACAACAGAUCUCUUGGUUCUG